GAUGAACGCUGGCGGCGUGCUUAACACAUGCAAGUCGAACGGACUUACAUUGAAGCCUAGCGAUAUGUAAGUUAGUGGCGGACGGGUGAGUAACGCGUGGGUAACCUGCCGUAUACAGGGGGAUAACAGUUAGAAAUAGCUGCUAAUACCGCAUAAGCGCACAGUACUGCAUGGUACAGUGUGAAAAACUCCGGUGGUAUACGAUGGACCCGCGUCUGAUUAGCUAGUUGGUGAGGUAACGGCCCACCAAGGCGACGAUCAGUAGCCGGCCUGAGAGGGUGAACGGCCACAUUGGGACUGAGACACGGCCCAAACUCCUACGGGAGGCAGCAGUGGGGAAUAUUGCACAAUGGGGGAAACCCUGAUGCAGCGACGCCGCGUGAACGAUGAAGUAUUUCGGUAUGUAAAGUUCUAUCAGCAGGGAAGAUAAUGACGGUACCUGACUAAGAAGCACCGGCUAAAUACGUG
rnacentral:rRNA from 1 species